rnacentral:rRNA from 1 species
AGAGUUUGAUCCUGGCUCAGAACGAACGCUGGCGGCGUGGAUUAGGCAUGCAAGUCGUACGCGAAAGAGGGGGAAACUCCUUGAGUAGAGUGGCGAACGGGUGAGUAACGCGUGAGGAACCUGCCUUCGACAGGGGGAUAACAGUCCCAACGGGCUGCUAAUACCGCAUGAGACCACGGAGCUGCAUGGCUCUGGGGUCAAAGAUGGCCUCUAUUUAUAAGCUAUCGGUCGGAGAUGGCCUCGCGUCCCAUUAGCUAGUUGGCGGUGUAAAAGACCACCAAGGCGACGAUGGGUAGCUGGUCUGAGAGGAUGGUCAGCCACACUGGGACUGAGAUACGGCCCAGACUCCUACGGGAGGCAGCAGUCGAGAGGCUUCGGCAAUGGGGGAAACCCUGACCGAGCGACGCCGCGUGGAGGAUGAAGGCCCUUGGGUUGUAAACUCCUUUUGUCGGGGAAGAAAUGCGAUCAGGUGAAUAAUCUGGUCGUUUGACGGUACCCGACGAAUAAGCUCCGGCUAACUCCGUGCCAGCAGCCGCGGUA